rnacentral:rRNA from 1 species
AGUUGGAAACGACUGUUAAUACCGCAUAAUAUCUGUGGAUUAAAGGUGGCUUUCGGGCUGUCGCAGAUGGAUGAGCCUGCGUUGGAUUAGCUAGUUGGUGGGGUAAGGGCCCACCAAGGCUACGAUCCAUAGCUGAUUUGAGAGGAUGAUCAGCCACAUUGGGACUGAGACACGGCCCAAACUCCUACGGGAGGCAGCAGUGGGGAAUAUUGGACAAUGGGGGCAACCCUGAUCCAGCAAUGCCAUGUGUGUGAAGAAGGCCUUAGGGUUGUAAAGCACUUUAGUUGGGGAGGAAAGCCUCAAGGUUAAUAGCCUUGGGGGAGGACGUUACCCAAAGAAUAAGCACCGGCUAACUCCGUGCCAGCAGCCGCGGUAAUACGGGGGGUGCAAGCGUUAAUCGGAAUUACUGGGCGUAAAGGGUCUGUAGGUGGUUUGUUAAGUCAGAUGUGAAAGCCCAGGGCUCAACCUUGGAACUGCAUUUGAUACUGGCAAACUAGAGUACGGUAGAGGAAUGGGGAAUUUCUGGUGUAGCGGUGAAAUGCGUAGAGAUCAGAAGGAACACCAAUGGCGAAGGCAACAUUCUGGACCGAUACUGACACUGAGGGACGAAAGCGUGGGGAUCAAACAGGAUUAGAUACCCUGGUAGUCCACGCUGUAAACGAUGAGUACUAGCUGUUGGAGUCGGUGUAAAGGCUCUAGUGGCGCAGCUAACGCGAUAAGUACUCCGCCUGGGGACUACGGCCGCAAGGCUAAAACUCAAAGGAAUUGACGGGGACCCGCACAAGCGGUGGAGCAUGUGGUUUAAUUCGAUGCAACGCGAAGAACCUUACCUGGUCUUGACAUCCUGCGAACUUUCUAGAGAUAGAUUGGUGCCUUCGGGAACGCAGUGACAGGUGCUGCACGGCUGUCGUCAGCUCGUGUUGUGAAAUGUUGGGUUAAGUCCCGCAACGAGCGCAACCCCUAUUGAUAGUUACCAUCAUUAAGUUGGGUACUCUAUUGAGACUGCCGCUGACAAGGCGGAGGAAGGUGGGGACGACGUCAAGUCAUCAUGGCCCUUACGACCAGGGCUACACACGUGCUACAAUGGGUAUUACAGAGGGCUGCGAAGGUGCGAGCUGGAGCGAA